AUACGGAGGGUCCAAGCGUUAUCCGGAAUCAUUGGGUUUAAAGGGUCCGCAGGCGGUCAAUUAAGUCAGAGGUGAAAGCCCAUCGCUCAACGAUGGAACUGCCUUUGAUACUGGUUGACUUGAGUUAUACGGAAGCAGAUAGAAUAAGUAGUGUAGCGGUGAAAUGCAUAGAUAUUACUUAGAAUACCGAUUGCGAAGGCAGUCUACUACGUAUAUACUGACGCUGAGGGACGAAAGCGUGGGGAGCGAACAGGAUUAGAAACCCUAGUAGUCC
rnacentral:rRNA from 1 species